GACGAACGCUGGCGGCGUGCCUAACACAUGCAAGUCGAGCGGGGUUGAAGCGAGAGGUAACUCGAACUUCUACCUAGCGGCGGACGGGUGAGUAACGCGUGGGCAACCUGCCUCAAGGUCUGGGAUAACAGCCCGAAAGGGCUGCUAAUACCGGGUAUGCUUGUGGCCUCGCAUGGGGCUACGAGCAAAGGGGAAACCCGCCUUGAGAUGGGCCCGCGUCCCAUCAGCUAGUUGGUGAGGUAACAGCUCACCAAGGCGACGACGGGUAGCCGGCCUGAGAGGGUGACCGGCCACACUGGGACUGAGACACGGCCCAGACUCCUACGGGGGCAGCAGUGGGGGAUCUUGCACAAUGGGCGAAAGCCUGAUGCAGCGACGCCGCGUGAGCGAAGAAGGCCUUCGGGUUGUAAAGCUCUGUCUGGAGGGACGAAGGAAGUGACGGUACCUCCGGAGGAAGCCACGGCUAACUACGUG
rnacentral:rRNA from 1 species